CCAAUAGCGUAUAUUAAAGUUGUUGCGGUUAAAAAGCUCGUAGUUGAAUUUCGGGAUUUAUCCGUUGGUCGGGCUUUUGGGUCUGUACUGGCGUGAUGGAUUUCUACCUUCUGAAUAACCGGCAUGUCAUUAAUUUGGUGCGCCGGGGAAGCAGGACUGUUACCUUGAAAAAAUUAGAGUGCUUAAAGCAGGCUAUUGCCUGAAUACAUUAGCAUGGAAUAAUGAAAUAGGACGGCAUGGGUCUAUUUUGUUGGUUUCUAGGAUCACCGUAAUGAUUAAUAGGGAUAGUUGGGGGCAUUAGUAUUCAAUUGUCAGAGGUGAAAUUCUUGGAUUUAUUGAAGACUAACUUCUGCGAAAGCAUUUGCCAAGGAUGUUUUCAUUAAUCAAGAACGAAAGUUAGGGGAUCGAAGACGAUCAGAUACCGUCGUAGUCUCAACCAUAAACUAUGCCGACUAGGGAUCGGACGAUGUUAAUUUUUUAAUGACUCGUUCGGCGCCUUACG
rnacentral:rRNA from 1 species